rnacentral:lncRNA from 1 species
AAUACAAAGAACAUGUUCUGCGUGUGUCAGACCAUAUGGUUCAUUCAUAGCUUUUCGCUUAUUUGAAUGCAUUCAUGAGCAAAUGCACUUUGAUUCAAUCAUCUUCACAUGAAGUUCUCCAGGACAUGAGAUUUUGAUUAAAUCAUUCCACCCCAGCCUUGUACAAAUAUACCACAAUCAAUCUGCAUUAGAAGGACAACACAUCAGAGCCAAUUCGCAGAUAAUUUACAAUAAAUCUGCCUGGGGAUUGCCUGAAAUGUUCAUGGCAGACAGUAACAUCACAUGGAGGCCCACUAGUUCAUAAAGCUAUCAACAAGAGCAAAAACAUGUGAUCCAUUCAGAACAUAAAAAACAAGAAACACCUUCAUAACUCAAACAACCUGGUCAGGUGAGACUAAACAAACCAAGAGCAGAGAGAGGGGAUCAAGAUAUUUACCUCAGCUACACCUUAAGAAG